CUUCCGGUCUCGAGCCUGGGCGGCUUGUAGGUAGGAGGAUUAAGGUCGGACCUAGGUUGAAGAAGAAAAACACCAGGCUCAACAUUUGUAAUCGUACCGGCCUAAAAACAUUUCUUCUCUUUUUGUCCAUUUCUGCUCAAUGAGCUGCCCGUAAGAGAAAACUCCCUUUAGACAUUCUUCUAAGUUGGAGUCGCUGGCAACAAAUUCUCUUGGUUUACUGAGAUUGUCACUGAAUGCCUGGACCACACAGCCCUGGCUCCUGAGGUCCCAACAGAUUUGGCCACCUGCUGCCUGCAAGAUCCAAUGAGAGAGAAGAAUGGUGGUGAAACAGAGAAGGGAUUCAUUUUUGGCAUAGUCAUCUGGAAAGACAGCAGGUCUACUGAACUCCUAAGAAAACUGCAUCCAAAAAAAAGAAAACUGCAUCUGAGGCAUGGACAGCAGCUCCAGGAUUAUACAGCAGAAGAACUACAGUAGGAGGCAAAAGUAUGCAGCCAGGCACUCUUGGUCACACUGGGGUACAGUCCAGUCCCACAAGGUCACACUGUCACCAGGGAAGAUGACUGCUUGCAAGGUUCGCUGUUCCUGGACUUUGAGAGAAGUUUGCUUUUGGAAGACACUUGGGCUGGCACAUGCACUCUGUCUCCCCGCCUGACACCCUCUGCUGUGUCCAGAUGCAGCAAAAUGGCCUCCCCUGAUGAUGUGCAGACCCCAGCACCUUGCUCUCCUUCCCAGCAUCCAGAACCACGAGCCAAAUAAACUUCUGUUCUAUAC